rnacentral:rRNA from 1 species
GAUGAACGCUGGCGGCGUGCCUAAUACAUGCAAGUCGAGCGAACAGACGAGGAGCUUGCUCCUCUGACGUUAGCGGCGGACGGGUGAGUAACACGUGGAUAACCUACCUAUAAGACUGGGAUAACUUCGGGAAACCGGAGCUAAUACCGGAUAAUAUAUUGAACCGCAUGGUUCAAUAGUGAAAGACGGUUUUGCUGUCACUUAUAGAUGGAUCCGCGCCGCAUUAGCUAGUUGGUAAGGUAACGGCUUACCAAGGCAACGAUGCGUAGCCGACCUGAGAGGGUGAUCGGCCACACUGGAACUGAGACACGGUCCAGACUCCUACGGGAGGCAGCAGUAGGGAAUCUUCCGCAAUGGGCGAAAGCCUGACGGAGCAACGCCGCGUGAGUGAUGAAGGUCUUCGGAUCGUAAAACUCUGUUAUUAGUGAAGAACAAAUGUGUAAGUAACUAUGCACGUCGUGACGGUACCUAAUCAGAAAGCCACGGCUAACUACGUG